rnacentral:tRNA from 1 species
GGGCUUGUAGCUCAACUGGAUAGAGUAGCGGCCUUCGAAGCCGUUGGUUGCAGGUUCGAAUCCUGCCAGGCCCGCCA